rnacentral:tmRNA from 1 species
GGGGGCGACAUGGCUUCGACGGCGGUGACGACAUCGCGAGGUGCAUGCCGAGAGGGUAGUGACUCUCGUUAAUCAAUCGCUGCAACUUCUUAUAGUUGCCAACGACGAAAACUACGCACUAGCGGCUUAAACACCGCUUACCUCGAUGACUCGGUGUCCGUGACGACGAGUCGAGGGCAAAAGCUCACGGAAUAGCGAGCAGCCGACGCGUCCAACGAUGCGUUGCCUCGGAAGCUGACGCGAAACACAACGAGGCUCGCCCAUCCGCGCCCUGACCGUCGGGCCGCUCAUGGGCUAAAGCAAUAGACGAAGCUAAGCAUGUAGAGCUUCCGAUGCCGUGCCGGCGGACGCGGGUUCGAUUCCCGCCGCCUCCACCA